GGGCCCGCACAAGCGGUGGAGCAUGUGGUUUAAUUCGAUGAUACGCGAGGAACCUUACCAGGGCUUAAAUGUAAGUUGCAUUAGCUAGAGAUAGCUAUUUCUUCGGACCACUUACAAGGUGCUGCAUGGUUGUCGUCAGCUCGUGCCGUGAGGUGUCAGGUUAAGUCCUAUAACGAGCGCAACCCCUACCGUUAGUUGCCAGCGAGUCAUGUCGGGGACUCUAACGGGACUGCCGGUGCAAACCGUGAGGAAGGUGGGGACGACGUCAAAUCAUCACGGCCCUUACGUCCUGGGCCACACACGUGCUACAAUGGUAGGUACAGAGGGAAGCCAAUGCGCAAGCAUGAGCGAAUCUACAAAGCUGGUCACAGUUCGGAUCGGAGUCUGCAACUCGACUCCGUG
rnacentral:rRNA from 1 species